rnacentral:lncRNA from 1 species
UUGUGUUGUUUAUUCUGAAAAUGGUGGUAGCGAGAGAUUGAGGGUUAAGAAAGAGUAUGGAUGAAGCUCGCUGAUGAGAAUUUAAGAGAAGGAUGUCAGUGUUAUUGGAUUUGUGAGAAGGUGGCGAUAGUGUGUGGUCGGUGUUAUAGUGGAAAUAGAUAUGAUGAUGCAGCUACAAAUAAGGGAGAGUAAGGAUAAGGCUUGAUAGAAGAAGUUGAAGGGCUUGAUGGUGAGAAGCUGACACGG